rnacentral:rRNA from 1 species
UACAGAGGUCUCAAGCGUUGUUCGGAUUCAUUGGGCGUAAAGGGUGCGUAGGCGGCGCCGUCAGUCGGAUGUGAAAUCUCAGGGCUCAACCCUGAAACUGCAUUCGAUACUGCGGUGCUCGAGGACUCGAGAGGAGAUUGGAAUUCACGGUGUAGCAGUGAAAUGCGUAGAUAUCGUGAGGAAGACCAGUGGCGAAGGCGGAUCUCUGGAGAGUUCCUGACGCUGAGGCACGAAGGCCAGGGGAGCAAACGGG